UACGUAGGUGGCAAGCGUUGUCCGGAAUUAUUGGGCGUAAAGCGCGCGCAGGCGGUCCUUUAAGUCUGAUGUGAAAGCCCACGGCUCAACCGUGGAGGGUCAUUGGAAACUGGGGGACUUGAGUGCAGGAGAGAAGAGUGGAAUUCCACGUGUAGCGGUGAGAUGCGUAGAGAUGUGGAGGAACACCAGUGGCGAAGGCGACUCUUUGGCCUGUAACUGACGCUGAGACGCGAAAGCGUGGGGAGCAAACAGG
rnacentral:rRNA from 1 species